GAUGAAGAACGCAGCGAAAUGCGAUAAGUAAUGUGAAUUGCAGAAUUCAGUGAAUCAUCGAAUCUUUGAACGCACAUUGCGCCCGCCAGUAUUCUGGCGGGCAUGCCUGUUCGAGCGUCAUUUCCACCAUCAGGCCCCCGGGCCUGUGUUGGGGACCUGCGGCUGCCCGCAGGCCCCGAAAUUCAGUGGCGGUCGCGCCGUAGCAACCGAGCGUAGUAACUAAAACGUCUCGCUCUGGCUCGCUGGGCGCGCUCCGGCAGUAAAACACCCCCCCUUUUCGCAAAGGUUGACCUCGGAUCAGGUAGGAAUACCCGCUGAACUUAAGCAUAUCAAUAAGCGGAGGA
rnacentral:misc_RNA from 1 species